rnacentral:sRNA from 1 species
GCUGGGCGUGGUGGCAUACGUCUGUAAUUCCAGUGGCUUGGGAGGCUGAGGCAGGAGGAUCAUGAGUUCAAAGCCAGCUUAGACUAAAGCGAGGUGCUAAGCAACUCAGUGAGACCCUGUCUCUA